UACGGGGGGGGCAAGCGUUGUUCGGAAUUACUGGGCGUAAAGGGCUCGUAGGCGGCCAACUAAGUCGGAUGUGAAAUCCCCAGGCUUAACCUGGGAACUGCAUCCGAUACUGGUGGGCUUGAAUCCGGGAGAGGGAUGCGGAAUUCCAGGUGUAGCGGUGAAAUGCGUAGAUAUCUGGAGGAACACCGGUGGCGAAGGCGGCAUCCUGGACCGGUAUUGACGCUGAGGCGCGAAAGCCAGGGGAGCAAACGGG
rnacentral:rRNA from 1 species